GCAACAGCGUCCCGGCAACAGCAGAAGGCGGAAGUAGAGCGGGGUGUUGCCAUCACCGGUGACUCUGCUUCCCGCCUCCGCUGGGCGGCAUAUAACGUCUGCAGGUGCCGGAGCCAGAGCCCGCAAGGAGAUGCGUCCGGGAUAGGCAGAAUCCGCUUGGAGUGGAGUGACGGCGAGAAGGGGAAUUAAAAAGUUAUCUUAGAAGAGAAAAUCCAGCCAGAUGAGAUGAAGCUUUUCCCAGUGACACUGUUUUCCAGAAGCUGUGUGAAUACAUCCCAGAUGCUCGUCCCUCUUUAAAGCAGGCAUUUCUUAUGCCUGAUGAAGGAAAGAAUGUUCCUGCAGGUGCAUUCCAAGUUUUCCCCAAAGCAGAAUAUAAGUUGUACUUCAGUCAAGAAACCAGCCUGUUUGUCUUUUGCAAGCUGAGUUUGUCUAUCCUGUUCUUGAGGUCAAGAGAGCUUUCUUUUUGUGCUGGGAAGAACAGAUCUUUCAGAUGUUCCCUGAAGUUAUCUUUGCUGAGAUGUCCAAUGACAUUUUUACACAGAAACUACAAGAGAGCCAGCAAGAUAAAAAAAAAUGCAUGACUCACCAACGUGGAAUACAGACUGUCAGUAGUACACUGCACACUAAACUCAAGAUUUCUAAGCCUCAGCCUCCUCUGAACUACUUGUGGACUGCAGUGUGGCUUGUAAUCAUACUGGAGAUGGGAGAAGCUCCCUGGGCUCUCUGGAUCUCUUUCUCGCUCACACUUGCUCUUACUUCAAAGGAACCUGCAGUGGCUGUGUCAGAGAAAUCUCCUUCAGACAUUUAG
rnacentral:lncRNA from 1 species